rnacentral:ncRNA from 2 species
GGUCACGAGAACCAGCGGAAAGCCCCGGCUAGCUGGUCGGCAACCCUCCGUCGCGGUGGGGUGCUCCGGGUGACGACCUGGCCGCCGGCCGACCGGUCGCGGCAAGCGCGAUAC